ACAUUUCACCGGCCCUCCUGAAGCCUUUCCAGCUCUCCAGAAUUAUAUCUAGAAUUAUAAGUAGCCUCUGCAGCUGCACUAAAGGGGAGGGAGCAGAACAUAUUUCUUUGCUGGCUUGCCUGGCAGUAUUGGCUUGUGCUACCAUGUGCCAGGACCUCAGUGAACCCCACUUUAUCGAUAUUUUGUACAAGGACCAGCAGAAAAGAGACAGACUAAUUCAAACCCUUGAUAAAUACAAGAAGGAUCUUGUAUGUGAUCUUCCUGCCUCACCAGUCAAGUGCAGAAGUAUUUCUCCAAACCAGCAGAAGAUCAACUGGGCACUGUUGGAAAAUGGUCACCCCCUGUCUGGUCAGAGCAACUAUCCCAGGACAAAGAGCAGCCCCUCUCUGUACCGCGUCAGAAGUUCACUUCAAGGAAGGCUGUCCCAAAUCCUGCUCUGUGUGCUUUGUCUCACACCAGUUCACAGUCCUAGUGCCCACAGAUCAUCUCCUUCACCCCUCCUGUAGCCUCACAUGCCUUUGGGCAGUCACAACAGGAGGAAGGCAUUUCAAAGCUCUGUUCAUAGAGCCUACUUUGGGAACCUUCUUGACAAACACGCAAUUUACUUCACAGAAAAGAAGCAGUGUUUUACCCUUGAAGACAUCACAUCUACCUUUUCUUCUAAAAUAUAGGUAUUAUAAUCCUCCUUCCAGAAAAAGGAGCUCCUCCCCGGGCAGACCAUCAAUUAAAUCAGCAGGCACCAACAGCAAAGGGAGAGAAGGCUUAUACAGGUGCUGACAUCAAUGCUAAAAGUUACACAAUUUUGGUUUCAAACACAAUUUGAAUUAUAACUGUUUCUCACUGAACUUUUAAUCUUUCAGAUUUUUAGAGGAUGCACAUAUGAGACCACAUUCUGCUCGUUUUCCUCAGCAGCCAGUUGAGGUUAGUGUACCCAGUGAGUUACAAAGACAAAAGGGCAGAAAACGCUACUCAUACACAAAAGCUGUCCUGGUUAUGUGGAAAUGAAACAGAUAAUGGAGUCAGUGGCUUUGGGGAAUCUUUGUUAAGAGCAAAACCAAAAUACUCAACUAUCUUAUGAGAAGUGACUAAGGUUGUAAUUGAGAAAUCCAGCAUGCAGGGCCAGAUAGGGUCAACAGGCAUCUGUGAAUAAAACAGGAGCAGCUGGAGUAACUGGUCUCAGAGAGAAACACAAAUGAGACACUGUGAUGUGGAGAACAGUGUAUCCCAACACAAAUCUGCUCUUCUGAGAGCAGACCUCUUUCCUACUUGACUGAACUCUUGCUUUUUGGUUGGUUUACAGCCUUUCAUUCCAUCCAAAUAGUAACUUGGAGCCCAGAAAUGUCCAGACAAAGCGCUAUUCACUCUGACUACAGUCACAUGUCAUGCAAGAUUUUGUCUGGAAGUUGCACUCUGUUAGUCAUCUGGAUUUUCAAGAUGAAUGGUGAAUUGAUUUAGGAAAUUUUACUGCACUUAAAAAUAAGGGUUGCUUAACAAUAGCCAAAGCCAUGCCUGAUAGAGGAGUUUUGUAUAAUUCCUUGUUGCCUCUUUACAGCAGCCAUGCUGAAUUUCUACACAGCUCAGCCAAGGAACCACAGGCAUGAUAUGUGAUAGCCUUGUCCUUGAUUGUACUAUUUCAGUCCUUGUUCCAACCACCAAAACCUUCAUUAACAAUGUGAGCUGGCCAAGCUCCUACUUUCAUUUGAUGACCUGACCUGAUUUUCUAUGUCCUCUUUCAAAAACAUAAAUGUAUUUUGCAUGUCCUUCUGGAUAAAAUGCGGUUGUAUUUGUAUGGAAUCUGUAAAGACUUUCAAUUUUGACAGAAAUUCUGAUUUUCUUUGUAUUCGCUU